rnacentral:lncRNA from 1 species
CUUCUCUUCUUGUUACUUCUCUCUUUCUCUAUUAAAUUUUUUACUAUUGUUUGAGCUCUAUAAUUAUACGUUCUCCUACUCUUUCAAAUUUGUAUUUUAAUUUUUUAUCUUUUAAUCUUUCAACGUAUUUUCAGAUCUCCACUUCUUUUUAUUCCGAAUUGUCACCCAAAAUAAACCCCAACAGAGUCGUUGUUGCUCAUUAAAGCUCUACAGUGGUUCUAUUGAUGUCUUACAUUAACUUGGUGGAUCUCAAGGUUCUACAUUUUUCUCUUUGAUAUCUUUUAUUCUCAAAUUUCUGGAGAUAAAUUUCGAUUGAUUUGAAUCCUCUAGGAAAGUAUUGUCAUAGUGUUUAUUUUUCUAUUUGAUAUGGGCGUAAAAUAAAAUGGGUAGGGCAUGUAUGUUGUGUUUGUUUUUCUUUUUGUUGGUAUUUUGUUCCCUUUCACAGUUGCUCCGAUGAUUUCUCUUUUUUCUCUUCUUUUUCGGGUAUAUAGUUGCUCGAUCUAAAAUUGAUUAAAUGGAUUCUCUUUUUUCCUCUUUCAAAGGUGUGCAAUGAAUUUCUGCAAGGAAAUUUUCAUAGCCGUCGCACUGCAAAUGUCUGUUUUUCAUAUGAAGAUCUCAUCAAUUUUCUAGCUUGUGUAAGUUGGUUACGAGAUGAGUUUCAAAGUUUUGAUGAAUUCUUUGUUAUGUGAACCCAAAGUUUUAGUUAUUCUUGUGUAAGAUAUCAUGUGCAUAUUUUUCUCUUACUUUGAUUUUCUCUUUUAAAAAUCAAUUGUUGUAAUGGCCACAUUUUAUAAUUCUUCUUCAAAUCAUUUUGUUUCAGUCCUAAAACUGGUUCAGGAAAUCGUUC